GACGAACGCUGGCGGCGUGCUUAACACAUGCAAGUCGAACGAAGAGCGAUGGAAGCUUGCUUCUAUCAAUCUUAGUGGCGAACGGGUGAGUAACGCGUAAUCAACCUGCCCUUCAGAGGGGGACAACAGUAGGAAACGACUGCUAAUACCGCAUACGAUCUAAUCUCGGCAUCGAGGAUAGAUGAAAGGUGGCCUCUACAUGUAAGCUAUCACUGAAGGAGGGGAUUGCGUCUGAUUAGCUAGUUGGAGGGGUAACGGCCCACCAAGGCGAUGAUCAGCAGCCGGUCUGAGAGGAUGAACGGCCACAUUGGGACUGAGACACGGCCCAGACUCCUACGGGAGGCAGCAGUGGGGAAUCUUCCGCAAUGGACGAAAGUCUGACGGAGCAACGCCGCGUGAGUGAUGACGGCCUUCGGGUUGUAAAGCUCUGUUAAUCGGGACGAAAGGCCUUCUUGCGAACAGUUAGAAGGAUUGACGGUACCGGAAUAGAAAGCCACGGCUAACUACGUG
rnacentral:rRNA from 1 species